CUGGUGCGGAUUGGCUCGGGGACGAAAGGCACUGUGGGUGGACGCCUGAGGUGCAUUGUGGGGAAGCGCCAGUCGCGCCUGUGUUGUUGUCGACUCUUCCGUUGUUGUUGUUGGGGUUGAAACGACGCGACGAAAUGCCGGAGCGAGACAGCGAGCCGUUCUCUAACCCGUUGGCCCCAGACGGCCAUGAUGUGGACGAUCCUCACUCCUUCCACCAAUCAAAACUCACUAAUGAAGACUUCAGAAAACUUCUCAUGACCCCAAGGGCUGCCCCUACCUCUGCACCGCCCUCUAAGUCACGUCACCAUGAAAUGCCACGGGAGUACAACGAGGAUGAAGAUCCAGCUGCACGGAGGAGAAAAAAGAAAAGUUACUACGCCAAGCUUCGCCAACAAGAAAUAGAGAGAGAGAGAGAGCUGGCAGAGAAGUACCGGGACCGAGCCAAGGAACGGCGGGACGGCGUGAACAAGGACUAUGAGGAAACCGAGCUCAUCAGCACCACGGCCAACUACAGGGCAGUGGGCCCCACCGCCGAGGCGGACAAAUCCGCCGCGGAGAAGAGAAGACAGUUGAUCCAGGAGUCCAAAUUCUUGGGUGGUGACAUGGAACACACCCAUUUGGUGAAAGGCUUGGACUUCGCUCUGCUUCAAAAGGUACGAGCUGAAAUUGCCAGCAAAGAAAAAGAAGAGGAAGAACUGAUGGAAAAGCCCCAGAAAGAAACCAAGAAAGAUGAAGAUCCUGAAAAUAAAAUUGAAUUUAAAACACGUUUGGGCCGGAAUGUUUACCGAAUGCUCUUCAAGAGCAAAGCGUAUGAGCGGAACGAGCUCUUCCUUCCGGGCCGCAUGGCCUACGUGGUGGAUCUGGAUGAUGAGUACGCCGACACAGACAUCCCCACGACCCUUAUCCGCAGCAAAGCUGAUUGCCCUACCAUGGAGGCCCAGACCACACUGACCACAAAUGACAUUGUCAUCAGCAAGCUCACCCAGAUCCUUUCCUACCUGAGGCAGGGCACCCGCAACAAGAAGCUCAAAAAGAAAGAUAAAGGGAAAAUGGAAGAGAAGAAACCCCCUGAGGCUGACAUGAAUAUAUUUGAAGACAUUGGGGAUUAUGUGCCCUCUACAACCAAGACGCCUCGGGACAAGGAGCGGGAGAGAUACCGGGAACGGGAGCGUGAUCGCGAAAGAGACAGAGACCGUGACAGGGAGCGGGAACGGGAGCGGGAGCGGGAGCGGGACCGAGAGAGAGAAGAAGAGAAGAAGAGGCACAGCUACUUUGAGAAGCCGAAAGUGGAUGAUGAGCCUAUGGAUGUUGACAAAGGACCCGGAUCUGCCAAGGAAUUGAUCAAAUCGAUCAAUGAGAAGUUUGCUGGAUCUGCCAGCUGGGAAGGCACUGAAUCGCUGAAGAAGCCAGAAGACAAGAAGCAGCUGGGAGAUUUCUUUGGCAUGUCCAACAGCUACGCCGAGUGCUACCCAGCCACGAUGGAUGACAUGGCUGUGGACAGUGACGAGGAGGUGGAUUAUAGCAAAAUGGACCAGGGUAACAAGAAGGGCCCUUUAGGCCGCUGGGACUUUGAUACCCAGGAGGAAUACAGCGAAUAUAUGAACAACAAGGAAGCUUUGCCCAAGGCUGCAUUCCAGUAUGGCAUCAAGAUGUCUGAAGGGAGGAAAACCAGGCGCUUCAAAGAAACUAAUGACAAAGCAGAGCUUGAUCGCCAGUGGAAAAAGAUUAGUGCGGUUAGUGGGACUGGUUCUGGGUGGGAGGGCUUCAGCUGGGAGGAGACCCUGGCCCACAGAUUCAGGAACAGUCAGGGGCUGGAGAGCCAUGGAAGUAGCCCACCUUGGGUCUCAGGUGAGCUUAGCUGGCAGCAUAACUAUUGACUCCAACUGUACUUUUUGCAGAUCAUUGAGAAGAGGAAGAAGAUGGAAGCUGAUGGGGUUGAAGUGAAAAGACCAAAAUACUAAUCUCUGGUUCCAACUCCAAGAAUAAUCUCCCCAAGGAUUUUUUCCCCACUGCUUGCUUUCUACAAUUCCAAAAAACAGUUGAAAGAUUUUUGUGUGUGUGUGUGUGAAUGUAUAUAAAAUUUCAUUGUGUAAUCUUUUGGUUCCAUUAAAAUUGGUUAACCUGU